rnacentral:rRNA from 1 species
AACGAACGCUGGCGGCAGGCCUAACACAUGCAAGUCGAGCGCCCAGCAAUGGGAGCGGCGCACGGGUGAGUAACACGUGGGAACGUGCCCUUUGGUUCGGAAUAACGCAGGGAAACUUGUGCUAAUACCGGGAUAAGCCCUACGGGGGAAAGAUUUAUCGCCAUUGGAGCGGCCCGCGUCUGAUUAGCUAGUUGGCGGGGUAAAAGCCCACCAAGGCUACGAUCCGUAGCUGGUCUGAGAGGACGACCAGCCACACUGGAACUGAGACACGGUCCAGACUCCUACGGGAGGCAGCAGUGGGGAAUUUUGGACAAUGGGCGAAAGCCUGAUCCAGCCAUGCCGCGUGAGUGAAGAAGGCCU